AAGGUAAUACUUUAUGGAGGCCCGAACCAGUAAACGUUGUAAAGUUUUUGGAUGACUUGUGGAUAGCGGUGAAAUUCCAAACGAACCUGGAUAUAGCUGGUUCUCCCCGAAAUAGCUUUAGGGCUAGCGUCUCGAUUGAGCGCAACGAGGGUAGAGCACUAAUUAUAUGAUGGCCCCAUCUAGGGGUUCGUCCCAAAAUAUAUGUUAAGUGGGAAAGGAUGUGGAGUUCCAAAAACAGCUUGGAUGUUGGCUUAGAAGCAGCCAUCAUUUAACGAGUGCGUAACAGCUCACAAGUCGAGGGAUUCUGCGCCGAAAAUUUAACGGGGCUAAAACAUAUUACCGAAGCUAUGAAUUUAUGCAUUAAAUUGCGUGAGUGGUAGGGGAGCGUUCCAUACUGGGAUGAAGUCAGACCGUGAGGACUGGUGGACUGUAUGGAAGUGAGAAUGCCGGCGUGAGUAUCGAUUGGAGGUGAGAAUCCUCCACGCCGAUUGAGCAAGGUUUCCUGGGGAAGGUUCGUCCUCCUAGGGUUAGUCGGGACCUAAGGCGAGGCCGAAAGGCGUAGUCGAUGGACAACGGGUUGAUAUUCCCGUACCGACGUAUAGAGGGAUGGAAUGACGGAGAAGGCUAAGUAAAGCACGCGAUCGGAAGUGCGUGUCUAAGCAGAUGAGGUGUCAGUGUAGGUAAAUCCGCACUGUGAUACAUUGAGCUGUGAUGGGGAGCGAAACCUUAGGGUAGUAGCGAAGUUACUGAUGUCAUGCUUCCAAGAAAAGUUUCUACUGUUAAUCUAUACGUUGCCCGUACCCAUAACCAACACAGGUGCUCAAGGAGAAUAUCCUAAGGCGAGCGAGAUAAUUGGAGCUAAGGAACUCGGCAAAAUAACCCCGUAAGUUAGCGAGAAGGGGUGCUGGUAGUGCUUGCACGUAAGCCAGCCGCAGAAAAGAGGUCCAGCCAACUGUUUAUCAAAAACACAGCUCUCUGCUAAAACGUAAGUUGAAGUAUAGGGGGUGACGCCUGCCCGGUGCCCGAAGGUUAAGGGAAUCUGUUAGCAUUAGCGAAGCAGUGAACUGAAGCCCGGGUGAACGGCGGCUGUAACUAUAACGGUCCUAAGGUAGCGAAAUUCNNNNNNNNNGGACGCCAGUUCUAGUGGAGUCGCCGUUGGGAUACUUCUCUUGUUGUAUUGGAACUCUAACUCGCACCCCUUAUCGGGGUGGAGGACAGUGUGUGGUGGGUAGUUUGACUGGGGCGGUCGCCUCCUAAAAAGUAACGGAGGCGCACAAAGUUACACUCAACACGGUCGGAAAUCGUGUGUAGAGCGCAAAAGUAAAAGUGUGAUUGACUGUGAGGCUUACAAGCCGAACAGGUACGAAAGUAGGUUUUAGUGAUCCGCCGGUUCUGUAUGGAAAGGCCGGCGCUCAACGGAUAAAAGUUACUCCGGGGAUAACAGGCUUAUCUCCCCCAAGAGUUCACAUCGACGGGGAGGUUUGGCACCUCGAUGUCGGCUCAUCGCAUCCUGGGGCUGUAGUCGGUCCCAAGGGUUGGGCUGUUCGCCCAUUAAAGCGGUACGCGAGCUGGGUUCAGAACGUCGUGAGACAGUUCGGUCCCUAUCCGUCGUGGGCGUAGGAAAUUUGAGAGGAGCUGUCCUUAGUACGAGAGGACCGGGAUGGACAUACCUCUGGUGUACCAGUUGUCGUGCCAACGGCAUAGCUGGGUAGCUAUGUGUGGACGGGAUAAGUGCUGAAAGCAUCUAAGCAUGAAGCCCCCCUCAAGAUGAGAUUUCCCAACUUCGGUUAUAAGAUCCCUCAAAGAUGAUGAGGUUAAUAGGUUCGAGGUGGAAGCAUGGUGACAUGUGGAGCU
rnacentral:rRNA from 1 species